GACGAACGCUGGCGGCGUGCCUAACACAUGCAAGUCGAGCGAGGAACUUCGGUUCCUAGCGGCGGACGGGUGAGUAACACGUGGGCAACCUGCCUUGUAGCGGGGGAUAGCCGUCCGAAAGGAAGAUUAAUACCGCAUAACAUACCGAAAUCGCAUGGGUUUGUGAUCUAAGGAGCAAUCCGCUACAAGAUGGGCCCGCGGCGCAUUAGCUAGUUGGUGAGGUAACGGCUCACCAAGGCGACGAUGCGUAGCCGACCUGAGAGGGUGAUCGGCCACAUUGGAACUGAGAAACGGUCCAGACUCCUACGGGAGGCAGCAGUGGGGAAUAUUGCACAAUGGGGGAAACCCUGAUGCAGCAACGCCGCGUGAGUGAUGAAGGCCUUCGGGUUGUAAAGCUCUGUCUUCAGGGACGAUAAUGACGGUACCUGAGGAGGAAGCCACGGCUAACUACGUGCCAGCCGCCGCGGUAACAC
rnacentral:rRNA from 1 species